rnacentral:rRNA from 1 species
AUGGCUCAGGCAGAGCGCUAGCGGCAGGCUUAACACAUGCAAGUCGAGGGGCAGCGGGGAGGAAGCUUGCUUUCUCCGCCGGCGACCGGCGCACGGGUGAGUAACACGUAUGCAACCUGCCCCUGUCAGGGGGACAACCCGCCGAAAGGCGGGCUAAACCCGCGUACAUGCCACCGGGGCAUCCCGGAGGCAGGAAAGGCUUCGGCCGGACAGGGAUGGGCAUGCGGCGCAUUAGGCAGUAGGCGGGGUAACGGCCCACCUAACCGACGAUGCGUAGGGGUUCUGAGAGGAAGGUCCCCCACACUGGUACUGAGACACGGACCAGACUCCUACGGGAGGCAGCAGUGAGGAAUAUUGGUCAAUGGUCGGGAGACUGAACCAGCCAAGCCGCGUGAGGGAUGAAGGUACAGAGUAUCGUAAACCUCUUUUGUCAGGGAACAAAGGCGGGGACGUGUCCCCGGAUGAGUGUACCUGAAGAAAAAGCAUCGGCUAACUCCGUGCCAGCAGCCGCGGUAAUACGGAGGAUGCGAGCGUUAUCCGGAUUUAUUGGGUUUAAAGGGUGCGCAGGCGGUCUGUUAAGUCAGCGGUCAAAGCCCGGGGCUCAACCCCGGCCCGCCGUUGAAACUGGCAGUCUCGAGUUGGAGAGAAGUAUGCGGAAUGCGCGGUGUAGCGGUGAAAUGCAUAGAUAUCGCGCAGAACUCCGAUUGCGAAGGCAGCAUGCCGGCUCCACGCUGACGCUGAGGCACGAAAGCGUGGGUAUCGAGCAGGAUUAGAUACCCUGGUAGUCCACGCAGUAAACGAUGAAUGCUGGCUGUCCGGGGGGGAUUGACCCCUGGGUGGCGAAGCGAAAGCGAUAAGCAUUCCACCUGGGGAGUACGCCGGCAACGGUGAAACUCAAAGGAAUUGACGGGGGCCCGCACAAGCGGAGGAACAUGUGGUUUAAUUCGAUGAUACGCGAGGAACCUUACCCGGGCUCAAACGGGGAGUGACUCAGGCAGAGACGCCUGUUUCCCACGGGACACUCCCCGAGGUGCUGCAUGGUUGUCGUCAGCUCGUGCCGUGAGGUGUCGGCUUAAGUGCCAUAACGAGCGCAACCCCCGCGUGCAGUUGCUAACAGAUAACGCUGAGGACUCUGCACGGACUGCCGGCGCAAGCCGCGAGGAAGGCGGGGAUGACGUCAAAUCAGCACGGCCCUUACGUCCGGGGCGACACACGUGUUACAAUGGGUGGUACAGCGGGAAGCCAGGCGGCGACGCCGAGCGGAACCCGAAAUCCACUCUCAGUUCGGAUCGGAGUCUGCAACCCGACUCCGUGAAGCUGGAUUCGCUAGUAAUCGCGCAUCAGCCAUGGCGCGGUGAAUACGUUCCCGGGCCUUGUACACACCGCCCGUCAAGCCAUGGGAGCCGAGGGCGCUUGAAGUGCGUCGCCGCGAGGCGCGCCCUAGAGCGAAAUCGGUGACUGGGGCUAAGUCGUAACAAGGUAACCG